GCUAACUCCAUUACACGCUUUCUCAUCAUUGCCUGAAUAUUUCUCUCAGCCAAGAGAAGGAAUAAACCAACCCGCCAAAGCUGCACACUCAAGUUUUAAGUGCGCUGGAGAGUGAAGCCAAAUAGAAGUCAUUCAUUUAAGAGCUGCAGUAAAGUGGCAACUGCGUUUUGGUUGUUGCCAUGGUUCAGAUCCACUCAACUUUAAAUUUCUAGUCAUUCUCAGAAUACCCCAAAGCAUUCUACCUUUAGCUAUCUCAAAUUCAUUUAUUUCUGACUAUUUUAUUGCUCACGUACUCCGUGAUGGGCACAGUGCUGGACAUCUGGGAAGAUGGCACUGCCUCUCUUCUUCGUCACUUUUAAGCCAGGGUUAACCACCCUGUCAUUGAAAUACUUUCUUUUAUUGGAUUCUGGUUGUCUUCAGCAUGUAACUGACAACUAAAGCCAUGGGCAUGGAUAAGAGUGUAGAGGGAAAAGAGAAAAGAAAAGAAGCAAAGAGGAGGGUGGUGGAGGGAAGAGGGGUCAUUGACCAUAAGCGAGGCAUUCUAAUUAAAAGGGAGAACAUACAAGAACUUCAAAUCCUAGCACCUACCCACUACACACUCCCAGUUUCCCCUCUGCCCUACCACCCAUCCUCCUGAUGCUUAUCUUAGAUAAAAAUUCUGAAAUGGGUCAAGCAGGCCCAGCUCGGCACUGAGUACCAGUUCAGGAGACAGCCACCAGGACCCUCAGCUGACAGCAAUUACAGGUCCGAGACAUUUUCCUCUGGCACUGUAUUGUAUUAACUUUUUUUUUUGUUUCCUUUAAAUUACAGGGUGACCUGCUUUCAGUUGGGAAGUUAUAACCAGUGGCCGAAUGAGAACAAUAUUUUCCCUAUAAAAAGAACAGAAGAGCCAAGGAUUCUUCAAAGAUUCCUGGGCACUGAGAAAACAAACUCCUGAGAUUGCCAUAUGAACCCAGCCCAGCCAGCCUACUAGAGAAUGAGAGACCACAUGGGGAAGAGCUUACCAGGUGAGGUCAUCUUAGACUAGACAAUACUAAGUGAUAGGCCAACUAACUACAGAAGCAUAAAAGAGCCUAGCAGAGAUCAGCUGAGCCCUGCCAAGCCCCGACCCAGGCCAGAAUUACCAUCCAGCCAUUCCGUAGACUUGUAAGCAAUAAUAAAUGUUCCUUAAGACAAUAAAUUUGGGGAAGGUUUGUUAUGAAAUUGAAACCCAAGAUUAUAUGACUCCAGAUACUAUGCACUGAAUUGCUAUUUUUUGUCAUGUCAAAUAUUGAAACAGAAUCCUGUACCUUAGAAUUAUGAGAGUUUCUAUGGCAGAUAGACGGAUACUGCAUUUUUCAUGAUUUUGCUUUCUUCCCCCAAUCCUCUACAACAAAAAGUCCAUCUUGUUUACGCAAAUUGAUUUUUCCGUUCUGAGGUUGUUUUUCCUCCUGAAAUCCUCCUUUCCAGCUGUUCUGGGCCAGGGGUAAAGGCAAAGCCUUCCAACAAGCUUUUUGGCAUUACAGAGCCGAGAGCCAUCUGUUUGGCUGUAGGCUAUUCACCAUGGACCUGGCAAGUAACACGUUUCUGACCAGUGGAUGAUAAUUUGAUAGCUCAUCAUUACCCAAUAAAUAUGCUAAUCAUCACCCCUGAAGUGGGACUAAAACAGUAAUUUGGUUGCAAAACAUUUAGUGCAUGUCUAGAAGAUACAGAAUUAAUGUGAUUCAGGCUUAACUUUAUAAAACUGUCAUUUUGUCAUUUAUCCCAUUUCACUUGCAACCACACUUUGAUCUAUCCAUGAUCAUGCACAGGAGAUUAAAUGGUACUCCCUGUUUUCUGAUAAAUAAGUAGAUACUCACUUUCUCUGACAUGUUAUCAUUUUACCUCUUUCCCAUCUAGCUUUGUCAGGAUAAAUUUUCCUCUUCGAUAGUUCUUAUAGAUUACCCUAGAAGUCUGAGAGAGAAUAAUGAGACAGAAGUUUGGAUCAAGAAACCAUUUAUUCAUUUGUCCAGCAUUUGACCAUCCAAAUUGUACAACUUUCAAAAAUCCCUAUGGCUGGAAAAGGCUUGGAGGUUUCUCUCUCCAUUACGAUUCAUGCACCUGCUUCCUCUUCUGCAACCACCCCUAACUUUCCUGCAGAACUACCAUUAGAUAAAUAAAGUUUAUUUUAUUUCAAGAUUUUUAAAGACAGGUGUGUAUGAGGAUGGAGCAGACACAUCCUCAGAAGCCGGAGGGCAUCAUUUUUGUUCAUAAGAGCAAAGAUGCAUCUCAGAGCUGA
rnacentral:lncRNA from 10 species